rnacentral:rRNA from 1 species
CCUACGGGAGGCAGCAGUGGGGAAUAUUGCACAAUGGGGGAAACCCUGAUGCAGCGACGCCGCGUGAGUGAAGAAGGAAUUCGGGUUGUAAAGCUCUAUCAGCAGGGAAGAAAAUGACGGUGCCUGACUAAGAAGCCCCGGCUAACUACGUGCCAGCAGCCGCGGUAUUACGUAGGGGGCACGCGUUAUCCGGAUUUACUGGGUGUAAAGGGAGCGUAGACGGCGGUGCAAGUCUGGAGUGAAAGGCGGUGGCUCAACCGCGGGACUGCUCUGGAAACUGUACCGCUGGAGUGCAGGAGAGGUAAGUGGAAUUCCUAGUGUAGCGGUGAAAUGCGUAGAUAUUAGGAGGAACACCAGUGGCGAAGGCGGCUUACUGGACUGUAACUGACGUUGAGGCUCGAAAGCGUGGGGAGCAAACAGGAUUAGAUACCCGUGUAGUC